GCCCCUCACUUUGUACAAGUCAGCCAGCAAACCCUAGACGCACUAAUCCCUCACCCCGCCGCCUCUCUCCACGCAUUGCGAGCGCCCCAUCCGCUCUUCCUCUUCCUCGCCGAGCAAGAUCCUCCGCCACCCCGAGCCAGAUCCUCCGCCAACCCCAUCCAUUCCUUCCCCGCAGCCAAAUCCUCCAUUGAUGCUGACAAACACGAGCAGCGGCUCCACCAGUUCCAUGCCCACUCGAUCCCGAGGUGGCCUGCCUCCUAUUUGGCAGCCUCGGGCCUCAAAGCCGCAAAAUUUCCGAUACCCUGCGCGCUCCCGCCCUGCCGGAUUGAUGCAGAUGGGUGAGCACCAGAAGGCGGAGGUGUACGCGGAGGAGCUCUGGACUGCGAGGAGGAUGACGACAAGACGGUCGACGCCGGGUUCCUGUUCAAGCCCGAGCUGCCCCAGGCAAUCCAGGACCGCGGAUUUCAGCACCCACCGUUGGAAAAUCUCGUCCAUCAUCGAGCAUUACUUACUGGCCAUCUAGUAGUUCUGCCUAAAUAGGAUACUACGACAGGGAUGGAAAUUUUUAGCACGCUAUCUUGCUAGCUGGUGAUCUGUAGAAAGUGUCCUCAUAUUUUGAUGUUUCUGCAAACUAGAAUGUGAAUACGGUUGCCAGGUUUUAGAUUUAAGUUUGAUGAAGUGAUUAUAUUAGUACUGCUUUUGGCGUACUUGGAAUAUGAUCAUCUUGAACCAAUUUUAUCCUGUUCUUGGUGGUAUCUAAGUUGCAGUAGCUUGAUAAUGAUUGCUUACUGGCUGUAGUAGUUAUAGAUGGACUUGUAGCGUCAGAUGAUAUUUUGCCUCUGUUUUACGUUUCCCAGUGGAGUAAAAUAGCAUUGUUAAAUGCAUCCUUUAUAUUGCCUCUGUCUUACAUAUCCCUGAUUGUACUUAGUCAUGUGGAGGCUUUAGGGCAUGAGCUACUUUAGGUAUUGAUUGUUGUACUAUCUUGUUAAUGGUUCGGCAAACAUGUUUUAUUUUCUUAUGCUCUGUUCCUGAUAUUAGCUUCAUACUAAUUACUUUCUUAUGAUAGAGAUACUAUUGUUGUAACUUGGUUCCAGAUAUAUGCAAACUUGUUUAGGCUGCUGUGUUAGUUGAUUGCUCCAUUUAGGUGGUUCUAGUAAUUAAGUACCUGUUCUAGUAGUACUUGAACAGAUACGCAGGCAUACAUCCUGUAACUUUCUAUAUUGUUGUCAAAAGCAGCCAUACACCUUGUUUUCCCUAUUGCUGCUCACGUGGAACCAGUGGAUUAACUCUGUUCAUUAACCUUCCAGGUUGCUAAGUUAUAUAGUUCGUUUUCUGAAUCAUUUAUCUUGUACUCAAGGAUACUAUAUUACUUAGCGUCGCGUCGGUUCUUAGGACUUUGGAGCAUCCUAUUUUGUUUUAACUUUUAAGCAAUGUUCUCACUGCUAUGUAGUUCAUUGACUGCAAAUUAUCCGCCAGCUACUGUAUUGGUCAGGAGUGGUGAUCCUUAUCGAGUGCGAGGAAAACUUGGACUGCCAGAUCGAGGACAUUGAUUUCACAGCCAAGAGGUUCAAGAAAGAAGCUGCUGAGAAGAACAAGAGGUCUUCAAGUAUGCUGGGAGGUUGACAAGCUUAAGGAAGCAGAUCAUCAGCAUGCCCUCCUUGCUUUCACCUUUGGAGUGAAGCAGAUGAUCUCCUGCUGCAACAGAACUAGACCAAAGGAAGCAGUAGGUGCAGGUGAAAGCACAUUGUUAUUCGGCGAGGCCAACUACUACAGGCUGCUCACCGAGAUUUGCGUACUCAAAGGAUACAAGUGAGAUGAGGAAGGUUUAUCUUGUAUAGCGUGACAACUAGAUAUCCGGCUGUUAACAGUAUGUAUUGUUUCUGGGUCAGCUACAGUAGUAUGAGAUAUAUGAUGUUCUGAAAGUGAACUCAAUUUCUUUUUAGUAUAAACUACUAAAAAGUUCUAUGUUUAUGCACAUUUUUAGUUUCCUACAUGUAUUGUAGUUUCUCAUGCCUGAUCAGUCUAAUGCCAGGUGAUCUGGUUUUCAGAAGUUGGGGCGAGGAAAAACGCUUGAAGAGCGUAUGUUAUGUUGAAACUAGUUCUUGGAACUAGCAUUUUUGGUAGAUGGUCCUAGUUCAUGUGUGUGAACUUGUAAUGUACUGCUGAGAGAAACUUGUGAUUAUUGACUUGUUAUUUGAUACUACUGUUAUUACUGAA